rnacentral:rRNA from 1 species
UACGGAGGGUGCAAGCGUUAUCCGGAUUCACUGGGUUUAAAGGGUGCGUAGGUGGGUCUGUAAGUCAGUGGUGAAAUCUCCAAGCUUAACUUGGAAACUGCCGUUGAUACUAUAGACCUUGAAUGCUGUGGAGGUGAGCGGAAUAUGUCAUGUAGCGGUGAAAUGCAUAGAUAUGUCACAGAACACCAAUUGCGAAGGCAGCUUACUAAAGUAUGAUUGACGCUGAGGCACGAAAGCGUGGGGAGCAAACAGG